AACGAACGCUGGCGGCAGGCCUAACACAUGCAAGUCGAACGGAUGUAGCAAUACAUUAGUGGCGCACGGGUGCGUAACACGUGGGAAUGUACCCCAGGGUAAGGAAUAAUGUCUGGAAACGGACACUAAUACCUUAUAAUGACUUUGGUCCAAAGAUUUAUCGCCCUGGGAUCAGCCCGCGCCUGAUUAGCUAGUUGGUGAGGUAAUGGCUCACCAAGGCUACGAUCAGUAGCUGGUCUGAGAGGAUGAUCAGCCACACUGGAACUGAGACGCGGCCCAGACUCCUACGGGAGGCAGCAGUGAGGAAUAUUGCACAAUGGAGGAAACUCUGAUGCAGCCAUGCCGCGUGAGUGAAGAAGGCCUUCGGGUUGUAAGGCUCUUUUAGUCGUGAAGAUAAUGACGGUAGCGACAGAAAAAGCCCCGGCUAAAUUCGUGCCAGCCGCCGCAGUAA
rnacentral:rRNA from 1 species